rnacentral:rRNA from 1 species
GACGAACGCUGGCGGCGUGCUUAACACAUGCAAGUCGAACGGAAAGGCCCUGCUUUUGUGGGGUGCUCGAGUGGCGAACGGGUGAGUAACACGUGAGUAACCUGCCCUUGACUUUGGGAUGACUUCAGGAAACUGGGGCUAAUACCGGAUAGGAGCUCCUGCUGCAUGGUGGGGGUUGGAAAGUUUCGGCGGUUGGGGAUGGACUCGCGGCUUAUCAGCUUGUUGGUGGGGUAGUGGCUUACCAAGGCUUUGACGGGUAGCCGGCCUGAGAGGGUGACCGGCCACAUUGGGACUGAGAUACGGCCCAGACUCCUACGUGAGGCAGCAGUGGGGAAUAUUGCACAAUGGGCGGAAGCCUGAUGCAGCAACGCCGCGUGCGGGAUGACGGCCUUCGGGUUGUAAACCGCUUUCGCCUGUGACGAAGCGUGAGUGACGGUAAUGGGUAAAGAAGCACCGGCUAACUACGUG